UCUUUCUCUUCAUCUCACGUUUCUUCAUCCUCCAUGGGAGUUCUCUUCAAGCUUCCAUAACUCUCUCAAGUUAGUCUCAAAUUUCAUGCUUUUGUGUACCUUUUCACAAGCCAUUUGUGCUCUUUUACUCAUUCACCUUAAAAACCCUUCAAAGUCUUAAACUAAUACUUUCUCUCACUAACUAGGUGUUUUAGAGAGAAAAAGAAAGACUCUCUAUAAUAGUUUGGGAAUUCUUGAUGAGGAAUCCAAUUACAAAUCUAGCAAGGUGAGUAUUGAAAUUGAGUUGAUAUUUUUAGUUGUUGAGAAUGGCUGGUGGUUAGAUCUGUGAGUAUUUUGUAGUUACAGUGAUUUAUUCAUUUUAGUGUGAUUAGAAUAGUGAAAAUAGAUAGCUACUUAAUGAUAGUUGGAAACUAGCUAGCAGAACAUGAUUUAGGAGAUAGCUUCUAGAACUAUAUUUAUGUGAAUUGAGUUAAUUGUGAUGCUAUUAUGAUGAUAGGUUCCAACGAAGCUCCACCACCCUAUUUGGACCAUUAGAGGAAGUUGGAAUUGGGUAAAGAUGUAACAAACACUAGUGAGUGAACCUGCACUAAAAGGUUUUCGGUAGAUGUACAUACGUUUGAACGAAUCACUUGAAUUGUUUAAAUUGUCUUUUCUUCAAAUUGCAUAUGGGAACAAGCCUUUAACGAAAUUUUUUUCUUGCGUUGUGAAAUGUGAUUGUAAUGAAUUUGCGAAAUCCCUUUAUAUGUUGAUAUAUAUAUAUGUAUAAUACAUUGGUAGAUAAUAUUGUGUAAUGAAUAUAAUCGUGCGUGUGCGCGAUGUGGGGGAUGCACAUGCCGGUAAUGAUAGGGUGUGGGAGUGUGGAGGAUGACAUAGUUGUGCGUGAUGUGGGGGUGCACACGAUGACUCCAUCUAUGUGCGUGAUGUGGGGGUUGCACAUGAGCUGGGUGAGGCGGCGGUGAUAUGCAUGCUGAAGUAUGUAUAUGUAUAUAUGUAUGUUAUAGAAAGUUUAUUAAAAUAUUUGUGAUUGGGUUGUAUGUGGGCAUUGUUAAUUUUUGCCAUAUUUUCCACUUCUUUAACAUCAUGGUUGAUCAUGAAUUUCCAAUGUCAAAGGAUUAAUUUAUCUAGUUUGAACUGAGAGGUUUUAACGAGAAACCGUUGUGUAGUUGAGACAAACCCUUGUGCAGUUGAGAGGAACCCUCAUACAAAUGAUGAUAUGUACCUAAAAUACGCUGUAGUGAGAAUGCCUUUCCGUUGCGAGAAUCUGUCUAUUACGCUGCCUUGCUUGGAUAAUUGCCAAAAAUUUUCUCUUUUCGAUUUCAUGUUAAACAUGAUUCCUUCAUUAUUAAAUGAUUUAAUAACCAAAGGUUUAAUGGAGGGGUUUUAUUAAGAACUUGAACUAAAUUGCCUUUUGUUCAAAUAAGUGCAUCAUGAUUUUCAAACCUCCCUUAUCGUUGCUUGAUCCCUUCUUAUGUUCACUCACUGAGUUUGUACUUACUGUUUUUAACUUCAUGUUUUCAGAUUAGGAAGUAGUCGGAACCCAAGUCGAGGUGUUCACGUAGAUUCAUCUCCUAGGUAGGUAUCUCGACAUUCAAUAGCUGAACCUCCACCAAGGUCACUCUGUUGGAAGUCAAGAGUCAUUUUGUUUGUGAAUACGUUCAUGUGAUGUAAAGUAUUAAGCUAUGUGUCUUAGACAAUGUAUGUAUAUUGUGAUUGGUAAUGCCACCACGAGUUGGCAAUGGUUAACAUUAUUUUGGACUAAUGUGAAAUGCAGUUUUUGAUUGCUAUAGCACAUUAAUUAGGUACUUAUAGAUUGAAAGUAUGAAAGGUGACUUUAAGAAUAGUUGAUGGAAUGAUGAGCAGAAUUAUAUAAAUAGGCUUGCUUGGGCUUGGUGGGUUAUGCCCAUCGGGUCCAUGUGCUGGUCACGACUCAAAAAUUUGAUUGUGACAGACUUGGUAUUAGAGCCCUAGGUUGUCAGGUCCUAGGAUUCCUUUAUUUGGUCUAGUGGAGUGUCGGGUCUUUAUGUGGGAUUUUUGGUUAUGAACUGUGAACCAUAGCACACUUCAUAACAAAAAAACCGCAUAGAUUCCCUAUCUUAGAAACCAUAUUUUCCUUUAGAUAUGAUUGUAAAACUGUGUUAAUAAUAGGUGUUUGCUUUUGUCUAGGUAAGAAUGCUGCUUAAGACAUGAGCCGCCUCAAGAAGGAUAGGGGAGGAAGAUGCUCACAAUGAGAUGACAGAUAGGCCACAAGCACCCACCCCAAUGGGCGAGGCAGAUGUGGCAGGGCCACUAGGUCGGUAAGGGCGGAUACACCUGUGAGUAAACAAGUGAAAGAACAGUUUUUAGGUGAGGCAGAUAGACAACCAACUAGGGGCAUUACCAUUGAGGACUUGGCUGCAGGUCUAUAGGAAGUUAAUAGGGUUGUGGAGAUGAUGACAACCUGUGUGGAUGACAUACAGAGAAUGGUAGAGGGGAGACAUGCAGCAUAAGCUUCCCCUAGUUCACAGGGUCAAACUGAUUGCCAGCAUCUAGAGGUUCAGAGGGGUCAUGUAGAGGUUUCACUUCCUGACUUCCUGAAGCUUAAGCCUCCAUUGUUUACUAGGUCGAAUGCAUCGGAGAAACCCUAAGUCUUCUUCGACAGGAUGGAAAAGAUUUGUAAUGCCAUGGGAUGUUCUAGUGCUAGAUCAGUUGAGCUAGUAGCUUUUCGAUUAGAGGAUGUGGCACAAGAGUGGUAUGACUCCUUGCAUAGAGGCAGGCCGACAGAUGCAGCACCAUUGGCUUGGAAUGAGUUUAAUAUAGCUUUCUUGAAUCAAUUUUUAGCACUCAGUGUACGAAAUGCAAGAGCUAUGGAGUUUGAGGCAUUAGUACAGACCUCAACUAUGACGGUGUCAGAAUAAAACAUCAAAUUCACACAGUUGUCUCGGUAUGCACCUUAUCUAGUUUCUACUGAGGAGAUAAAGAUAUGAAGGUUUUUGGAUGGGCUAACGGAACCAUUGUUUGGGUUGUAGCAUCUCGAGAUUUUGAUACCUACUCCGUAGCCAUGGAUUGUGCUCAGCGGAUUGAGAUGAGGACCAGUGAGAGUAGGGCUGCGAAGGAUAGAGUCUAGAGGGCCAAGAUAGAGGGACAUCAAGGUCACAAAGACUUCCGUAGUGGUGUUUCAUCCUCUAGUAGUCAGGGCCCACAAAGGGACUCACGAUUACCUCAACAAGGGAGUGAUGCUACUAGUGUCAGCGUUGGAUCAAGGUAGAAAACUUUUAGUGGAGAAAGGCAGCAAGAUUCGAGGCAGGGUAGUCAAGCUAUUGAUCGUUGCAAUAAUUGUGGAGUACGGCAUAGUGGGCGAUGUUUUCGUACUCCGAGAGUUUGUUAUGGGUGUAGUCAACUUGGACAUCUACAGAGGAGUUGCUCGAUGGCUCAUCAAUCACAAGGUUUUGCUCCUAACUCUGCUCAGCCAGUUUCGUCUACUCCUUUAGUAGCUGCCUCAUCUGGUCGGGAGGCUAGCAGAUCGAGAGGUAGAGGUGCUGUUGCUUCCUCUCAAAGCAGGCCAUCUGGGUUUGGAUGUCAAAGCUCGGUAGGUAGAGGCCAAGCAAGGGUAUAUGCUUUAACACCCCAAGAGGCCCAAACAUCCAAUGCAGUGGUCUCAAGUGCUCUUUCUAUUUGUGAUAUGAUGCUCGGGUAUUGUUUGAUCCUAGUUCAACCCACUCUUUUGUUUCUCCAUGUUUUGCACCUCGGUUAGGUAAAGAUCGUGUUAGGAGAGAAGAAAAAUUAGUGGUGUCUACUUCUUUGAAGGAGGUAUUUGUGGCAGAAUGGGAAUAUAAGUCUUGUAUAGUUCGAGUCAAGGACAAUGACACUUUGGUGAACCUAGUGGUGUUAGAUACUUUAGAUUUUGAUGUGAUUUUAGGAAUGGAUUGGCUGUCGCCUUAUCAUGCUAGCGUGGACUGUUACCAUAAAUUGGUUAAAUUUGAUUUUCCAAGGGAGCCAUUAUUUAGUAUCCAAGGAGAUAGGAGCAAUGCUCCAACCAAUUUAAUAUUAAUAAUGUCUACUAGAGGGUUAUUAAGAUAGGGUUGUCAAGGUUAUUUGGCUGUUGUAAGGGAUACCUAAACGAAGGUCGGAGAUAUAAGCUAAGUGUCGGUAGUGAAUGAGUUUGUGGAUGUAUUUCCUGAAGAACUACUAGGUUUGCCUCCUGAGCGAGAGAUCAAAUUUUGCAUAGAUUUGAUUCCCGACACUAGGCCCAUAGCCAUACCCCUAUACCGAAUGGCACCAGCAGAGCUUAAAGAACUUUAGGAUCAGUUAGAAGAUUUGUUAAAUAAAGGCUUCAUCCGCCCUAACGUCUCACCAUGGGGAGCACCGGUGUUGUUUGUAAAGAAGAAAGAUGGGUCGCUUAGAUUGUGCAUUGACUACUAACAGCUUAAUAAAAUGACAGUGAAGAAUAAGUAUCCCCUUUUGAGGAUAGAUGAUUUAUUUGAUCAACUAUAAAGAGCACAAUGUUUUUCCAAGAUUGAUCUACGAUCUGGGUACCAUCAAUUAAGGAUCCGGAAUAAGGACGUACCCAAGACUGCAUUUCAAACAAAAUACGAGCACUAUGAGUUUUUGGUGAUGUCUUUUGGGAUUACGAAUGCCCCUGCAGCAUUUAUGGAUUUGAUGAAUCUAGUGUUCAAGCCUUAUUUGGACAAGUUUGUAGUGGUGUUUAUUGAUGACAUCUUUAUCUAUUCGAGGAGCGGAGGGGAGCACGAGCAGCAUCUUAAGAUAGUGCUCCAAACUUUGAGGGAACAUCAAUUGUAUUCUAAGUUCUCUAAGUGUGAAUUCUGGCUUGAAAGUGUUGGAUUCUUGGUUCAUGUGGUCUCUAAAGAUGGAGUGCAAGUUGACUCAAAGAAAGUAGAGGCAGUGGAAAAAUAGCUAAGGCCAACAUCAGUUAUAGAGGUUAGAAGCUUUUUGGGUUUUGUCGGCUAUUAUCGUCAUUUUGUGAAAGAUUUCUCCAAAAUAGCUGCCUCUCUGACUAGGUUGACACACAAAGAUACGAAAUUUGAGUGGUCAGAUGCUUGUGAGGAUAGCUUUGAAAAGCUUAAGUCUUGUCUCACCACAACUCCAAUAUUAAGCCUACCAUAAGGCACCAGGGGUUAUACGGUAUUUUACGAUGCAUCACGGGUUAGUUUAGGGUGUGUAUUGAUGCAGCAUGGGAAGGUGAUUGCAUAUGCAUCAAGACAACUUAAAAGGUAUGAGCAGAAUUAACCCGCACAUGAUUUGAAGAUGGCAGCAAUCGUGUUUGCCUUGAAGAUUUGGAGACAUUACUUGUGUGGUGAGACUUGCGAGAUAUAUGCUGACCACAAAAGCUUAAAGUAUAUAUUUUAGCAGAAGGAUCUUAACUUGGGGCAACGUAGGUGGAUGGAGUUGCUUAAGGAUUAUGACUGCACUAUUUUCUACAAUCCCGGUAAGGAAAAUAUGAUGGCGGAUGCCUUAAGUCGAAAGUCGAUGGGGAGUUUGGCAUGCAUAAUAGUAGAUAGAAGAUCCUUAAUUUGGGAGAUGCAUAGCUUGGGAGACAUGGGUGUGCAUUUGGAAGUUGCAAAGAUAGAUGCAUUACUGGCACAUUUUAGGGUGAGGCCUAUCGUGAUAGACCAGAUUAGAGAAGUGCAAAGUAAAGAUGAGUUCAUAACCAAGGUCUUGGAGGACCCUCAGGGGAGAAAGGGAAAAAUGUUUACUAAAGGCUCAGAUGGAAUACUGAGGUAUGGAACCAAACUUUAUGUGCCCAAGAGUGAUGGAUUGAGGAGAGAAAUAUUGGAGGAAGCACAUAUGGCAGCCUAUGUCAUACAUUUGGAAGCUACAAAGUUGUACCAAGAUUUGAAAGAGAUAUAUUAGUGGGAAAGACUUAAGAAAGAUGUGGCUGAGUUUGUUUCUAAGUGCCUAGUUUGUCAGCAAGUUAAGGUAGAGCACCAAAGGCCGGUAGGGCUACUACAACCGUUACAGGAGCUCGAGUGGAAGUGGGAGCAUGUUGUAAUGGAUUUUGUAACAAGCUUGCCUCGAACUAGUGGGGUUUAUGACUCGAUUUGGAUUAUAGUAGACCGAUUGACGAAGUCAGCUCAUUUUCUUCUAGUUAAGACUACUACAACCGUUACUAGUGCCCAAGUGAAAGUGGGAGCAUGUUGCAAUGGAUUUUGUAACGGGCUUGCCUUGAACUAGUGGGGGUUAUGACUCGAUUGGGAUUAUAGUAGACCGGUUGAUGAAGUCAGCUCAUUUUCUUCUAGUUAAGACUAGUUACGGGGCUACCCAAUACGCUCUAAUUUAUGUGGAUGAGAUAGUUCGAUUGCAUGGUAUUCCCAUUUCUAUAGUAUCUGACAAAGGGACACAGUUCACUAACAGGUUUUGGGGAAAAUUGCAAGAAGCUCUGGGCACUAAAUUGGAUUUCAGCACAGCUUUUCACCCUCAGACUGAUGGACAGUCUGAACGAACAAUACAAACAUUAGAAGAUAUGUUGAGGGCUUGUGUAAUAGAUCUUAGGGUUAAGUGGGAUCGAUAUCUACCUUUAAUGGAGUUUGCCUGUAACAAUAGCUUUCAAGCUAGCAUUCAAAUGGCACCAUUGGUAGCUUUCAAGCUACCUUUAAUGGACGAAGGUGCAGGUCACCCAUUGGGUGGCUAGAGGUGGGAGAAAGAAAACUCUUGGGGCCAGAGUUGGUGUAGGACGCUAUCGAGAAGAUACGCAUGAUUCGUCAGAAGAUGUUAACAGCACAAAGUAGGCAAAAGUCAUAUGCUGACAGCAAACAGAGAGACUUGGAGUUUCAAAUGGGGGAUCAUGUAUUUUUGAAAGUCUCACCAACAAAAGGGGUAUGAGGUUCGGUAAAAAGGGAAAAUUAAGUCCGCGAUACAUAGGACCAUUCGAGAUCUUAGAAAAGGUUGGAGUAGUGGCAUAUCGUUUGGUACUACCACCAAACUUUUCGAAUAUUCACCCCGUAUUUCAUGUGUCGAUGCUGAGGAAGUAUAAUCCGGAUCCAUCUCAUGUAAUACGAUAUGAAACUAUUCAGUUAAGAGAUGAUCUAACCUAUGAAGAGCAACCCAUGGCUAUCCUUGAUAGGCAAGUCAAAAAGCUUCGUUCAAAGGAUGUAGCCUCAGUCAAAGUGUUAUGGUGAAACCACACUAGUGAAGAGGUAACGUGGGAAGCCAAGGAGGAGAUGCAAACAAAGUAUCCACAGCUCUUUAAUAUGUAGAGGUCUACGACCUUAUAGUUUGAUUUACAUUCAGGGAUUGAAUUUCUUUUAGUAGGGGAGAAUGUGAAACCUUGACCUUCAUAGACACGUAACUAGAGGUAGAACUUAUGUUUAAAGGUUUAAUUUGAGCCUAUAAUGCUAGUUUUAUGUUACUUAUAAUUAUUUUAUGAUGUUAUAGGAGUAGGAUUAAAAAAUAAUUUCAAUUAGUAAAGAAAGGUGCAUAAUGGGCUGAUGCUCUAUUUGCAUAUAUUUUGGUUUUUCAAGCAUAUCUCCCAUUACAAAAGUCCAAAUAACAUGAUUUUUUGAUCAUUAGAAAGAUAAGAGGUAGGGCUAUAACUUUGGUGUUUACACUUUUCCCAAUUCUGAUGGGAAAGAGGUCAAAAGCUUUGUUGAAGUGAAAGUACUGUGCUAGAAGAAUAGAUUUAGACAAAACAUUUGAGCGUCGCGACGUUAGAAAUUGAGAGCCGCGACUCUCCCUAUAAUUUCCAAAAAUAACAAGCUUAGGGGAUUUUUGAAGCUAGGGCUUUUGGGGGCUACUUAAGAGACCUAUUUUAGAGGAUUUUGGACCUUUUUCCAAUGUCAAAAGAGUAAAAAGAUUGCACAAGAAAAGGGUGAAGACAAGUGGCCUUGUUAAGGGCAUUAUUGUAAUUGCAUGAAAAAUUAGAUAAGCUUUAACUAUAAAUAUCUACUCUCCAACAACCUUCUUCAUUUUUUGUUUCCAGCAGCUUCUUCUUUCCAUAUUUUUCUUCAUCUCACGUUUCUUCAUCUCCAUGGGAAUUCUCUUCAAGCUUUCAUAACUCUCCCAAGUUAGUCUCAAAUUUCAUGCUUUUGAGUACCUUUUCACAAGCCCUUUGUGCUCUUUUACUCUUUCACCUUAAAAACCCUCCAAAGUCUUAAACUAAUACUUUCUCUCAUUAGCUAAGUGUUUUAGAGAGA
rnacentral:lncRNA from 1 species